AGCGAACGCUGGCGGCAGGCCUAACACAUGCAAGUCGAACGAACUCUUCGGAGUUAGUGGCGGACGGGUGAGUAACACGUGGGAACGUGCCUUUUGGUUCGGAAUAACUCAGGGAAACUUGUGCUAAUACCGAAUGUGCCCUUCGGGGGAAAGAUUUAUCGCCAUUAGAGCGGCCCGCGUCUGAUUAGCUAGUUGGUGAGGUAACGGCUCACCAAGGCGACGAUCAGUAGCUGGUCUGAGAGGAUGACCAGCCACACUGGGACUGAGACACGGCCCAGACUCCUACGGGAGGCAGCAGUGGGGAAUCUUGCGCAAUGGGCGAAAGCCUGACGCAGCCAUGCCGCGUGAAUGAUGAAGGUCUUAGGAUUGUAAAAUUCUUUCACCGGGGACGAUAAUGACGGUACCCGGAGAAGAAGCCCCGGCUAACUGCGU
rnacentral:rRNA from 1 species